CCGAGUUUACAACUCCCAAACCCUUAUGUGAACCAUACCCAUCGUUGCUUCGGCGGGAACGCCCCGGCUCCCCGAGCCCGGAACAAGGCGCCCGCCGAAGGCCUUGAACUCUUGUUUUUACAGCAGUCUUCUGAGUGGAAAAACAAAAUAAAUCA
rnacentral:misc_RNA from 1 species